UACGGGGGGGGCAAGCGUUGUUCGGAAUCACUGGGCGUAAAGCGCACGUAGGCGGAUCUUUAAGUCAGGGGUGAAAUCCCGAGGCUCAACCUCGGAACUGCCUUUGAUACUGGGGAUCUCGAGUCCGGGAGAGGUGAGUGGAACUGCGAGUGUAGAGGUGAAAUUCGUAGAUAUUCGCAAGAACACCAGUGGCGAAGGCGGCUCACUGGCCCGGAACUGACGCUGAGGUGCGAAAGCGUGGGGAGCAAACAGG
rnacentral:rRNA from 1 species